UGGGGAAUAUUGCACAAUGGGCGCAAGCCUGAUGCAGCCAUGCCGCGUGUGUGAAGAAGGCCUUCGGGUUGUAAAGCACUUUCAGCGGGGAGGAAGGCGUUAAGGUUAAUAACCUUGGCGAUUGACGUUACCCGCAGAAGAAGCACCGGCUAACUCCGUGCCAGCAGCCGCGGUAAUACGGAGGGUGCAAGCGUUAAUCGGAAUUACUGGGCGUAAAGCGCACGCAGGCGGUCUGUCAAGUCGGAUGUGAAAUCCCCGGGCUCAACCUGGGAACUGCAUUCGAAACUGGCAGGCUAGAGUCUUGUAGAGGGGGGUAGAAUUCCAGGUGUCGCGGUGAAAUGCGUAGAGAUCUGGAGGAAUACCGGUGGCGAAGGCGGCCCCCUGGACAAAGACUGACGCUCAGGUGCGAAAGCGUGGGGAGCAAACAGG
rnacentral:rRNA from 1 species